UCAUAUACUCAUGUCGCAAAAGAAAUUUUUUUCAUCAUUUUUUUUUUAAUGAUAUUUAUAAAUAUUUGAAAACGAUAUUGACAGCUGUAGCUCUUGUGACCACAGUUACUGUUUCAUAAAACUUCAACAUCUCUCAAGCGGCCCGGAUAAGCCAGUAGUUAGCAUUUUCUGCCGCUUGAAUAUCAGAAGUUUACGUGGUCUACUUCUUCUUCACUUUUUUGGAAAUGGAGAGGGGAUCUCCUUCGCCUGGCCGGUCUAGCCUCAUGUGUGGCACAGAUACAGCCAAUGGGAAGUUUGCGUGGUAUUUAGGCUCGAAACGUGCUCACGUAGUAUAUUGAACAGCGCCACGGUGAUCGGGUGCCUCAACCAAUUUGUUCCGUGAGAGGUGUUAAACGUUGGAAGAAAUUCUGAUUUCGUAUCGUCUCAUGAAAUACCUCGACGAGAAAGCUGCCCCUGAAAUUCUCAUGAUGCUGUGUAUCCUUAGGGACUGUCUGUCAGAAACGCAAACAGCAUUCUCGAAAAGGUCACAUUUUAAUUGUUCCCUUGAGAAAAUGCUUGAAAGUGUGAUAUAUAUCUGACAAUAAAAAUUUAGAAUAUCCGAAAAAAAACGAACGAUAUUCUCCGAUGACGGUAAAAAUUAUCACGCGAGACUGUGCAGGUUUUACAACAAAAAGUGAACGGCAGGUACUGCGUCGUCAAGGUCAAAUAAUAAUCAGUUCAAAGGUUAUGUCGACGCUUGAAGAGGAGAGGGACUGGAAGAAACCAAAGUCAAUUCAUUCCAAAACAUUAUAUUCCUCGUCAGUAUAAAAUCGAACACAACACUUGUAAUAUUUUUUGUAACAUCGGGAUGAGGAAAUGAAACGAAAACGAAAAGAA